CUGAGCUUCUCUGAAAGGGAAGAGAGUUCCGAGAAGCUGAGGCCUCUAUGCUCGUGUGCGUAAGUUUUGUUAAUAAAUAUAAUGAAGCCGCUCUGUGCGUGGCCCUGCUCUAGGUGAUGCUGGACCCACAAAAGGCCUCAGUCCUCAAGAUCCCCCGAGUCUGGGGAGCAAAGCCAAACACAAACACCCCCAGCCCCAUGAGUCAGGGCUGGGCCAGAGGGAAGAACUGGGGCUGGGGAACCCCAGAGCGGGGAGCUGGGCCCUGCCUGGGAGUUCAGAGAAGGCUUCCCGGGAGGAGGGGGCAACGAUGCUGGGCGUUGAACAGGAGUUCAGCAGGUGGGAGGUGAUGAGGGUGACCCUGACAGAGCAUCUGCAGGAGCACCAACGCACCAACACUGGGCAGGCGCGGGCAGCUGUGCGCAGGUGGGCAUGCAGGCAGAGCCACUGAGCGGCGGGAGCGGCUCCUCCGAGGCAUGGACAGCCUUCCUCACCGCCAGCUGGCUCUGCUCCGGCCCCGGACCAGCUUCUACUUCAACCUCCUGCAAGACUGAAGACUAGAGAGAGACUUUCUCUUGCAGGAUCCUUCUGCCUCAGCGGUUGCUGAGAGUGGAUCUGAAAAGUCCUCAUCACAAGAAAGAAACACGUAUACCUAUGAGUGGUGAUGGAUGUCAACCAGACUUCCUGUGAUGUCCGACAUUCAGAGAAAUGGACACAUUCACGCAUGGCUGCUAGGAGCAGGGCUCUCCCCAAAAAGUGUUCCUCAAGGAAGCAACCUAGAUGCCCAACCAUAAGGGAUCAGUUUAAUAAAUCAAGGAAGAGCCCCCCAGACGGACGAUUAUGAAGCCUUUCAGCACAAGAGGGGAGACUGGUAUUGCUGGGUGUGGGAAGUGGGCCUCCACUGACAAAUCAUGUGUACAGUGUGAUUCCACUUUGGCUAAGAAAAGAAAAGAGAAAUAAAAAAAUCUAGAAUGAAAUAGACCAUCAUGCUAGGAUCAGUGAUUUCUGAGUGUUGAUUUUAUUUUUAAAAUUUCAUGCACUCAACAGAGCUUGAUGGAGGACCCGGCGUGGGCCAGCCGGCCAAGGGCAGGGCCGCUGUCUGAAGGUCACC
rnacentral:lncRNA from 1 species